GAUGAACGCUAGCGGCAGGCUUAACACAUGCGAGUCGAGGGGUAUGUCGAUUUAUCGGCAGAGACCGGCGCACGGGUGCGUAACGCGUAUGCAACCUGCCUUUUACAGGGGGACAGCCCAGAGAAAUUUGGAUUAAUACCCCAUGGUAUAAUACAACCGCAUGAUUGUAUUAUUAAAGUUCCAACGGUAAAACAUGGGCAUGCGUCCCAUUAGCUAGAUGGUAAGGCAACGGCAUACCAUGGCCACGAUGGGUGGGGGUCCGGAGGGGGAGAUCCCCCACACUGGUACUGAGACACGGACCAGACUCCUACGGGAGGCAGCAGUGAGGAAUAUUGGUCAAUGGGCGCAAGCCUGAACCAGCCAUGCCGCGUGCAGGAUGACGGUCCUAUGGAUUGUAAACUGCUUUUGUACGAGAAGAGACACCCCUACGUGUAGGGACUUGACGGUAUCGUAAGAAUAAGGAUCGGCUAACUCCGUGCCAGCCGCCGCCGUAAUAC
rnacentral:rRNA from 1 species